CAGGGUUUGAAUAGUGAGGGAAAAGGUGAGUACAAAAUAAAACAGGAAGGACUAAACAUGAAACUAAACUUAACCAACUUAACAACACACAACACUCUGUGUAAUCCACUCUUCAGAAACAUCUUUCUUGAUUGAUCAUCUGUCUGAAACAAGGCAUCUCAUUAAGUCCCGUCUAUCCUAAAGCCCACUGUCUUCUGAUUGGCUGACUUAAGAUAGAUACAUAGACUGAGAUACAGCCAGUGAGCACAGACACUGGUAGUUACCAUGGUAACAGCUGAGAAAAAACUCCCCAGACAUCGACGCACAUAAUAGACGGUGAAUUAACAGUGGUACGAGUCGAUGUGUAACACUUGCCAGUAAAGUAAGAUGGUGAACAAUUACAAUAUACCUGUAAACAUCAGUAUGUCAGCAUUGUCAUUGUCCAAUCCAAUCCAACCCAACUUUAUUUGUUAAGCACUUUAAAAACAACCAAAGUUGACCAAAGUGCUGUACAGGAGAAUAAAUAUAAACAGUGAUGGUGAUGAUGAAGACCACUGUGAAGAAUAUAGUCAGUGAUGAUGAUGAUGAUGAAGACCACUGUGAGGAAUAUAGACAUGAUGAUGAUGAUGAUGAAGACCACUGUGAGGAAUAUAGACAGUGAUGAUGAUGAUGAUGAAGACCACUGUGAGGAAUAUAGACAGUGAUGGUGAUGAUGAAGACCACUGUGAGGAAUAUAGACAGUGAUGAUGAUGAUGAUGAUGAAGACCACUGUGAGGAACAUAGACAGUGAUGGUGAUAACACUGGAAAGUUCCCGUGGCAGAUAACAUGGACGAAGUCCGACGGCGAUGAGCUCGAUGUCCGGGCUGCAGACGCUCUUUCACACAGA